GGGGUGGAGAAUUCUUGUAGGAAUCUGAAGCCUUGAGUGUGCUCUGCAAUUUUUUUUUUAGAUUUCAUUAAAUGUUCUGUACAAAGGCCUUCUCUGUCCAGAGCAGGGCACUUCCCGUCCUGUGGACUUUAAUGUGUUGACUCCUCCUCAGCACACCUGUUCUGGAUAAUGCUCUCCCUAACUUUGCUGAGUCCUAUGGUGGGGUGUAGUGGCUUCCACUGAUGCCUACUUUCCAUCAGAAAGCUUCUCCCCACCCUGGAGGACAUUAGCGGGACUCUUCCGAAUGUUGCCGACUUACCUUUCUUCAGAACUACGUGGAGGUGUGAGUGGGAUUAAGAGUCCAUUAUCUAAUUUCUGAGAUCCUGGAGGAAAUGAAGGAAUGGCCACCUAUCAAAAAAUAGCAAACACUGAAAAGUUUUGGAGAUGUAACCACCAGCCAUCCUGAAACUGACCAAGCCUCACCACAAGAGCUGUGCCCAUGACCUUUGCCUUAUUUUUAAUGCUACGAUCUCUCCAGGAGGAGCUUAGCCCUCACUAAAUGGAAGCUUGUUCUCCCACUGAGCCUGUGCAAGCGAAUACCUGCCUCUCCCUUUUGAAUAUUCAUUCCCCAACCAAAUAAAAGUUCCUGCUUCCCUUUGUUCGCGGAUGCCGUGACUUUGGAAACGAUUGCUCGUGGCCUCCUAUUUGCUGCAAAUACACUUUACUUUGUGAGACAACUUCCACUGGUGUAGAGUCUCAUUUAACUCACCAGGAGGCGAGCCCACUUGGUUCGGUAUCACUAUCUGUUAGUGUCAAGCAAAAUGUGGAUUGAAAUAAUCAUGAUCUUUACCUUGAUCAUUCCCAAACUCCCUACAGUCAGCUGUUUCGCAGGAGGAGCUGGGAAGAUUGAGAGCACUACUUUAAAUAAAAAUCAGUUUUCAGUACCUCUUACAGAUGAAUAUCCAGGUCCUCUGACUAGGUAUUUGGGAAUGGUCAUUGUCAUCUCCGCAAGUGCACUACUCUGCAGUCCUGGUGUUCACUUCUGCCCCAACUUGACUCAGAGCCAGCCGCAGAAUCCAGAGAGCUGCCACCAGUCCCUCAGUGUCAGCACUUGAGCUGAAACUGAUCUGCCAUUCUUGGUAAGUGUAAAUGAGUAAUCCUAAAAAUUAGAAUGGAUGAAAUUAACAUUAAAGCCCACUUUCUCACUUAAUUCUGAAAGCGUUGUAGAAUCUUGGACUGUUAGGUGUUCCUCAUUCUGAGAACAAAUUUUGAUUGUUUCAGAGAAAUACAGGAGUAACAGUGAAUAUUCAGUUACUCAUUUACGUAUUCAUUCUCUCCACAAAUAUGCUUUGAGUGUCUACAAAAUGCUGAGCAGUGUGAUUCCUGCCGGAAAGGUACAAUCUUUAUCUUUGAAGGUUCUUGGUGUAGCAAGGGAGAUGGAUGUGCAUGUGAGAAUGUUGUCAGGGCCCCAACUGAGGCUUGUAGAACAGAUUCAGGGAACCAUCGAUUGUGCCUCUUAGGGUUGGGGGUAAGGAUUCACACAGCUCCAGGUUCUCCUGAACUGGGCACUAAAGCAGGUGUCAAUAUUAUUAUUGAUUUGUGAUUUAAAGAUAACUUUAAUAUCUAUCUUCUAUUCUUAAUGCUACUAGUUAAAAUUCAUCAAAAGUAAUAGCAAGAGAGCAGUUGAAGAUAAAUAUCUUUGGGGACUUGCUGCGGCUAUAAAGCCUCACUUAGAACCCUCCAGAGAACCUCCCUCAUCUACAUACAGCUGCCUUUCUCCCUGAGCAAGGCACAGAAGCACAGACCUCUCUCUCUCUUCUCAAUUCUGCGCAUUUUUCAUAUCUGCUUUCCUGCUGUUGCUCAGUGAAAGUAAGUAGAGACUUCAUCAGACUGGCUCAGCGGCUUUCGAAAUUUUUUUGACCACAACCCAUAAAAAAAAUAAAUUUAAAAUUUCAA